rnacentral:rRNA from 1 species
GCUUUCGUGCAUGAGCGUCAGUACAGGUCCAGGGGAUUGCCUUCGCCAUCGGUGUUCCUCCGCAUAUCUACGCAUUUCACUGCUACACGCGGAAUUCCAUCCCCCUCUACCGUACUCUAGCCAUGCAGUCACAAAUGCAGUUCCCAGGUUGAGCCCGGGGAUUUCACAUCUGUCUUACAUAACCGCCUGCGCACGCUUUACGCCCAGUAAUUCCGAUUAACGCUCGCACCCUACGUAUUACCGCGGCUGCUGGCACGUAGUUAGCCGGUGCUUAUUCUUACGGUACCGUCAUGGGCCUCUCGUAUUAGGAGAAGCUUUUUCGUUCCGUACAAAAGCAGUUUACAACCCGAAGGCCUUCAUCCUGCACGCGGCAUUGCUGGAUCAGGCUUUCGCCCAUUGUCCAAAAUUCCCCACUGCUGCCUCCCGUAGGAGUCUGGGCCGUGUCUCAGUCCCAGUGUGGCUGGUCGUCCUCUCAGACCAGCUACAGAUCGUCGGCUUGGUAAGCUUUUAUCCCACCAACUACCUAAUCUGCCAUCGGCCGCUCCAAUCGCGCGAGGCCCGAAGGUCCCCCGCUUUCAUCCUCAGAUCGUAUGCGGUAUUAGCUACUCUUUCGAGUAGUUAUCCCCCACGACUGGGCACGUUCCGAUGUAUUACUCACCCGUUCGCCACUCGUCAGCGUCCGAAGACCUGUUACCGUUCGACUUGCAUGUGUAAGGCAUGCCGCCAGCGUUCA